rnacentral:rRNA from 1 species
AAACUUUCAACAAUGGAUCUCUUGGUUCUGGCAUCGAUGAAGAACGCAGCGAAAUGCGAUAAGUAGUGUGAAUUGCAGAAUUCAGUGAAUCAUCGAAUCUUUGAACGCACAUUGCGCCCCUCGGUAUUCCGUGGGGCAUGCCUGUUCGAGCGUCAUUG